CUCGUCUGAUCUCGGAAGCUAAGCAGGGUCGAGCCUGGUUAGUACUUGGAUGGGAGACCUCCUGGGAAUACCGGGUGCUGUAGGCU
rnacentral:rRNA from 1 species